AAUGGCAAUGACGAUUUGCAAAUGUUCAAGCUCAACAGACCAACUCAUAGGUUUUCUCUCACGAGUUGAUUUGUAUGCAAAUUAUCCCGUUGAAUUGAGACAUC
rfam:Triticum aestivum genome assembly, contig: Triticum_aestivum_CS42_TGACv1_scaffold_031910_1BL